CUACGGAGGGUGCAAGCGUUACUCGGAAUUACUGGGCGUAAAGCGCGCGUAGGCGGUUUAAUCAGUCGGAUGUGAAAGCCCCGGGCUCAACCUGGGAACUGCAUUCGAUACUGUUAAGCUAGAGUAUGGUAGAGGGAAGUGGAAUUCCAGGUGUAGCGGUGAAAUGCGUAGAUAUCUGGAGGAACAUCAGUGGCGAAGGCGACUUCCUGGACCAAUACUGACGCUGAGGUGCGAAAGCGUGGGGAGCAAACAGGAUUAGAUACCCUAGUAGUCC
rnacentral:rRNA from 1 species